rnacentral:sRNA from 1 species
UGAAUAUGCUUACCGUAGACAGUAGGUGCCUUAGUGCUUAAUUUCCUACCGAGGUGUUGUGAUAGAAACAAGAAGUAACGAGCUUGCUCGUAUAACUUUCGUUUUAUCAAGCCUUCGUGAUUCUGCGGAGGCUUUUC